rnacentral:tRNA from 1 species
GGACGAUUAGCUCAGCUGGCUAGAGCGUUCGAUUCACAUUCGAGAGGCCGGGGGUUCAAGUCCCUCAUCGUCCA